rnacentral:lncRNA from 1 species
UGUCACAUAUUAAAUUGUUGAAUUAAAAAAAUGAAAAAGGAAAGGAAGAAGAAGAGGCACACGUUCAUCAAUCCAGCAACAUCAUCAUUAAUCUCCUUCAUCUUCUUCUCAACCAAAAUCUAUAAAAUCCAGAAAAUACAACAUGAAUCUCUUCAACAACAACAACAAUCUCGUCAACAACAACAACAAUCUUCAUAAAAAAAUCCAGAAAAUCAUCUCAAAAUCCCAAAUUGUUUCUAUUCGAUUUGCAAUAGCUAUUCCGACCUGGAUCAAUAAAAUAUCUCUUUUAAUUUAAUAAUCCAAGUAUGCAUAUUUCGUUCAUCAAAAUCAUUGAAGAACAAAACACCAAAAAACAUGAAGAAAAACCUGUUUCAGGAGGACAUGCAGCUACUAGAAAGAAGCUACAAACCGAAGCAAUUUCAAGAAUACUUACUAUUUUAACAGUAUUCAGCAAAAACCGUUCUCUCCCAGCACCUUCCCUCUCCUUCCGUUCUCUCCCACCACCACAAUUCCUCCCUCCAUCAUUGUUGAAACUUCAACUGUAACGGAAAAUGCUACGAAUGAAACUUAAGAUUACAGGUUGCAAGAGGAUGAGAGAGCUUCGAUCUGUACAGAAGGAUGAAAGAGCAUCGAGAAAACGGAUAGAAAUCAAGCAAAAUCGACGAAAACAACGCCACCGGAGCUUCACCGGAAAAAGCGGGUGAGGAAAGAGAAGAGAGCAUGAGAGUUUGUGAUGAAGGAGUUAUGGAUUUUUAGGUUCAAUUUGUGGAAAGAUGAUUUUGAGGAUUUUAGGUAACACAAUCACUAUUGAUUUUGGAUUUAGGAGAAGAAUUGAAGAACGGUGAUGGUUCUUCUUCUCCCAAAGGUUUCAAAACAAAUCACCAACGUGCCAUCAUUUUUCAAUUCCUUUUUUC